GAACGAACUCUGGUAUUGAUUGGUGCUUGCAUCAUGAUUUACAUUUGAGUGAGUGGCGAACUGGUGAGUAACACGUGGGAAACCUGCCCAGAAGCGGGGGAUAACACCUGGAAACAGAUGCUAAUACCGCAUAACAACUUGGACCGCAUGGUCCGAGCUUGAAAGAUGGCUUCGGCUAUCACUUUUGGAUGGUCCCGCGGCGUAUUAGCUAGAUGGUGGGGUAACGGCUCACCAUGGCAAUGAUACGUAGCCGACCUGAGAGGGUAAUCGGCCACAUUGGGACUGAGACACGGCCCAAACUCCUACGGGAGGCAGCAGUAGGGAAUCUUCCACAAUGGACGAAAGUCUGAUGGAGCAACGCCGCGUGAGUGAAGAAGGGUUUCGGCUCGUAAAACUCUGUUGUUAAAGAAGAACAUAUCUGAGAGUAACUGUUCAGGUAUUGACGGUAUUUAACCAGAAAGCCACGGCUAACUACGUGCCAGCAGCCGCGGUAAUACGUAGGUGGCAAGCGUUGUCCGGAUUUAUUGGGCGUAAAGCGAGCGCAGGCGGUUUUUUAAGUCUGAUGUGAAAGCCUUCGGCUCAACCGAAGAAGUGCAUCGGAAACUGGGAAACUUGAGUGCAGAAGAGGACAGUGGAACUCCAUGUGUAGCGGUGAAAUGCGUAGAUAUAUGGAAGAACACCAGUGGCGAAGGCGGCUGUCUGGUCUGUAACUGACGCUGAGGCUCGAAAGUAUGGGUAGCAAACAGGAUUAGAUACCCUGGUAGUCCAUACCGUAAACGAUGAAUGCUAAGUGUUGGAGGGUUUCCGCCCUUCAGUGCUGCAGCUAACGCAUUAAGCAUUCCGCCUGGGGAGUACGGCCGCAAGGCUGAAACUCAAAGGAAUUGACGGGGGCCCGCACAAGCGGUGGAGCAUGUGGUUUAAUUCGAAGCUACGCGAAGAACCUUACCAGGUCUUGACAUACUAUGCAAAUCUAAGAGAUUAGACGUUCCCUUCGGGGACAUGGAUACAGGUGGUGCAUGGUUGUCGUCAGCUCGUGUCGUGAGAUGUUGGGUUAAGUCCCGCAACGAGCGCAACCCUUAUUAUCAGUUGCCAGCAUUAAGUUGGGCACUCUGGUGAGACUGCCGGUGACAAACCGGAGGAAGGUGGGGAUGACGUCAAAUCAUCAUGCCCCUUAUGACCUGGGCUACACACGUGCUACAAUGGAUGGUACAACGAGUUGCGAACUCGCGAGAGUAAGCUAAUCUCUUAAAGCCAUUCUCAGUUCGGAUUGUAGGCUGCAACUCGCCUACAUGAAGUCGGAAUCGCUAGUAAUCGCGGAUCAGCAUGCCGCGGUGAAUACGUUCCCGGGCCUUGUACACACCGCCCGUCACACCAUGAGAGUUUGUAACACCCAAAGUCGGUGGGGUAAC
rnacentral:rRNA from 1 species